UACUGUUGUCUGACAUAGACUUGUAUCCUGCCGCGGCCUUAUCUGUAGAUCAAGGAAACAGAGCACUUCUCCAUACGCGUUGAGAGAGAUAGAGAGAGCUUAAACUAAUCUCUCAACUCCAAAUCCUCAUCUGGGUCCUUCUCUUUUACCCUGUACUUCAAAUCCUUCGUUGAUAUUUUCUUCUUAUCAUCUGCCACUUUCCUCACUUCCACAAAGUUUUAUUCACUACUCUGUUUUGCUGGCAGAGCUUGUUGGAUAGGGGUUGGGAGCUUUCUUGUUUCUUCUUUGUUUUAAUAAUUCCCAUUUUUUUAUUUCUUAUUCUGUUGGUGACUGACUCUAAAACAUGUGGGGUUUUAUUCUUUGCCUCCUAAACAAAGGCAAAUGUUGAUCUUUCUGGAUCUGCAGGCGUGAUUUUGGGGUACAAUACGGGGCAUAUCUAUUUAAAGUUUUUAUCCCCCUUUCCCAUUGCUUUAAAUUGACUGAGCCUUGUAGUUUACUUCAAAUUCUAAACACUUUGUACAGAAGGCGUUUUCUUUGGUUUUUCAAGUCAAUAGAUGGUACUUCAUUAGCUGAUAAUACAGUGUUGAGUCCGAAAUGGGAUCUAAUAAUGCGUUUUAUUCUGGUGAAUUCAAUUUGGAUGAUAAGUGGCUGGUUGAUCCUAAGCUUCUUUUUGUUGGACCAAAGAUUGGAGAAGGUGCUCAUGCCAAAGUUUAUGAGGGAAAGUAUAAGAAUCAAAAUGUUGCUAUUAAAGUUGUUCAUAGAGGAGAAACCCCAGAAGAGAUUGCCAAGAGAGAAGCAAGGUUUGCGAGAGAGGUUGCAAUGUUAUCUAGAGUUCAACACAAAAAUCUAGUCAAGGUUAUUUUACUAACUUAUAAGCAACAACUUUUCAAUUACAAAAAUUUGUAAUGCCCUUUCGUUGUACUUGAUAUUGGGCAUUUUUUAUUUUAAUGAUUUGAAUCCUACAUCUUAGCUAAUGAUUGUUGAAGUUAUCAUAUACACAAUAAUAGUGUUGCUUUUUGUUACCAGUUUAUUGGGGCUUGCAAGGAACCUGUAAUGGUGAUAGUAACCGAGCUUCUUUUAGGUGGGACAUUGCGUAAAUACCUGUUGAACUUGCGACCAAGAUGCUUGGAGAUGCAUGUAGCAAUUGGGUUUGCACUUGACAUUGCUCGUGCAAUGGAAUGCAUACACGCACACGGAAUCAUUCAUCGUGACCUUAAACCUGGUAUGAUAAAAUUACAUUUUGUAUGGUUGUUGGACUUCAAGCAUAGUAAGUUGAAUAAAUAGCAUUGGUUAGAGGUUUGUGGACCAACUUAACAGUCCAACUACAAUUGGAUGGACAUUGGCUUUAUUUAGACUUGAAGUCCCUAGGUUUUGUACCUUUGCUUCUAAUAAUGUUGGACUGACUUGAUGAAUAGAAGAAUUGGUAUCGCCUCAGCAGAGGCUUUUAGACACGGUAUCCUAUCAUUUGUCCUUUUAUAAAUUGUGCAUAAAUGCAUGUGUCUUGUAUACAAUUUAACUUUUAUGAUGUUCUAGUUUCAUGUAUUAUUUUGUGUCUCAACAUCUUUGAUCCAAAAUCUUUUCAAUGGUGAGGAACAUGCUGCUACAAUAAUUUUUAAUAACUUUUUCUCAUGGCAAUGUUAAACAUUUUUGCAUGCUUUUGCAUGCAGAAGAGAACAAACCAACCUUCUCAAAGUCUAAUUUUUUACUGUUGCUAAUAUACACCAUUUAUAAGAUCUCUUCAUGUAAACAAUCCUCAAAUCUCCAUUCAACAAGAAUUCCAAGAUUCAGGCUUUAAGUAUCCCUGUGAACUUGAAAGCUCAAAUUAUCACAAUUUUGAAUGAAACCUGUAAAUUUUGUUCUGGCUGUCUAUUUCUAAGUUGUUUCUUCUAUGACCAUUUCCCUUUCCUGUGCACAAGUAAAAUUUGAUAUUUGCUUUAUUUUUGACUGUUCAUCAAUGACAUUAGGGAAAGUAUGCUCCUUCAUAUUAUGUACAUAAUUUUGUGCUACUGCAUGAAAAAUCUGUUAGACAAAUUUAAUCGUGUACCUUAUGCUUACAUGUCAAUUUCACUCCUGCUGGAUAGAGUUGGUGAUGUUUGGUGGGGGAAGUCGUUGAUAUUGCAUAAUAGGUCUUAUACUGUGUUAUUGCAACUUUAGUUGUUUGAUUAGCUUUGGAAGGCACUCGGGAAUUAGACAUUGUGGAAAUUUUCCAAUGUGUAGUGGAAUUAGGCAGAAGCAUCCAAUGGAUUUCUUUGCAUCCUUCUAGUUCUUAUUUGGCUGUUUCUGGAAAUCUUUCUUAAGAUAUCGUGUGAAAACUUCAUAAGGCUUCUUAUUGCUGUGAUGAAAUGAAUGGGUAACCUUAGGAAACAUUCAGCCAAAGAGAAAAGGUAAUAAUAAUGAGAGCUCAAUGCCCACAUACUGACACUGGUUUUAAGCUGAUAUUGACCGUCUGAAAUUAGAUAUUUUUGUAUGCAUCCUAAACCAGGUGGAUGGAGGAAUAGGAUCCAUAUAGCGACCUCAACUAAUUCGGAGUUAAGUUUGUUUGAGGUUGAAGAUUGACUGCUAAAAAUUCAAUUUUGCAUGUUCUCUUCACGUCAUUUAUGAUAUGAAUCAUAUUGGAUUGGUAUAUAUAAUCAUGAAGGAUUCUCAUAUUACAAAUGACUAUAACUUGUGUGAAGAUUUCUUUUUCUAGGCAAUGGGGAUAUGAUUUUGGGAGAUUUGGAUACUUGAUAUGAAGAUUCUAAAUCAAAUUUUGGCUUAAGAACUUUUAGGCUGUAGGAAAGUGAUACUGAGGAAAACAUGUGUAGCUACUUUUUGUUGGAUUAAGCAGUAGGCAUGACUCCUUACGAAUUUGUUUCCUGUCCCUUUUGCA
rnacentral:misc_RNA from 1 species